rnacentral:tRNA from 1 species
GGAGGUAUAGCUCAGUGGUAGAGUACAUGCUUAGCAUGCACAAGGUCCUGUGUUCAAUUACCUCCA